CCAUUCAUUCGGGUCAAAUUGUUCUCCUAUAUAAACACACAACCCGACAAUUUUGUUUCUCAAUUAGGGUUUCUCAAGCCUUUCUCCCUCUGCUCUCUAAGACUCUUCAUAGAUCUGCGUAUAAUCCAUCCGAUUCAAGGGUUUCAUAACAAUCGAUUUGUUUACAACUACAUCAAGGGUUUGUCGUCUUCCAGCACAGAUCUUCAAAGGUGAUCUAAUGCUUCAUUAACAAGAUGGCGAUGGAUGUAUUACCUGUACCAUUGCCACAAAGUUCUUCGCCAUGUCCAAUUUAUCUCGACAAGAUUUCAAACAGAGUUUGCUUUCCAUAUGCAAAAAUUGGUGCAAUUGUCCGUUCUAACUCGAACCUAUGGUGGGUUAUGUGUUGUGGUGCUUUUAUAUGGAAAUGACAUUGAUCAAGAAUGGGUUAUUAACAUUGUAAGAGAGUAUGAGGCAAUGAAGCAUCACAUGCUCUAAUGACUAAUCGAAAAGGUUAAUGGCAUGCAAGGAACUAAACAAUUUUUAUUGAAGAUGAUUAUAGUGAUGUUGACCGGUAUUCAUGCGUGAAAUCUACUCCCAUAAGCAGUGAGAAAUGCUUCAAUUUCCACUUUAGUUUUUCAUAGAAUAUAAUCUUUGUCAAUACCGCCAAAAAUGAAGAUUAUGUAAGUUUUUAAGGUAAGAUGCGUUGAGUUACAUAUAUAAAUUGCAUAAUAAUACAGUUCUGCUGCUCAUGUUUGAAAAAUGGGUGCAUCAUAUGUAGGGAUGAGCUCGGUACCAACAGGUAUCGAAAAUCCCCAAAAUGGGUACUGGUAUCCCCGGUUCGGUACCGGUAUACUCGGUUCAGUACCGGUAUUUGAGGGUAGAACUGGUAAAUACUGGUACCAAAAAACAUCGAAAGUCAGUACCGAAUAUAUUUCCGUUCAGGAAAUUCGGUACGUGUUCGAAACCGGUACCCUACCAUUUGCUCAUCCUACCAUAUGUAUAUAUUCCAACACGAGCCCAUCAACUUUAUAAGGGGUGGUGCACCUAUUUUUCCUCAUUGAGCUUACUUACAUAUAUGUUCUUUAUAUGAAUCCUUCUUGCUUCGUUUGAUACUUAAAUGGACUUCAUUAUUAUUUAUUAUUUAUGGCUAAUGCACUUCCUUUGUUAAAUGCAGUGUUGCUAAUUUGGUAAAAGACAUCUAUUUUAAGUUACAUAUGGAUGAUGAUAGAAUGUUACAUGUGACAUUAAUAGUUGGUUUCCAAAGACCUAACUAUUGAAGAUGGAUUUCCAAAAGCUCAAAGAAGAGGUCAUGUGAUGCAUGCUGUAUGGGGUGGCAAAGGUCAUUGUAUUUGCAUUUUGUUGGUCAAGGGUCGGAUUGCAGGUCACAUUAUGUUGGUGGCGAGUCAGAUUGCAAUCUAACGUGAGUUUAAAGCGGAAGAAUGCUUGAGCUUGAGAGAACUGUAUGCAAAAAAGAUUUCAGAUGUUAACGCAGGAAGGUCAACACAUACAUUACAGUUUCCUCAAUGCGAAACCAAUAGGCGUAAACUGGUUGACGUUAACGCCUACGACAAAGUGUUCAGUAUCAAUGAUAAUAUAACUAAUAAGAAGUUGAAGACCUCAGAACACAUUCAGAAUAAAGAGUGAAAUUUUCUAUUUCGAGUUUUUGAGCGUUAUUGGCGUCAUACGUUUGAAUUUAGUAUUUUUCCUUUUUUGAAUAAUUGUCUCUUGCUUUAAUUUCAAUAAUAUUGUUAUUUUA